CUCAGGAUGAACGCUGGCGGCGUGCCUAACACAUGCAAGUCGAGCGAUCUCUUCGGAAGAGAGCGGCGACGGGUGAGUAACGCGUGGGUAACCUGCCUCAUACACAUGGAUAACAUACCGAAAGGUAUGCUAAUACAAGAUGAUAUAAGAGAUUCGCAUGGAUUUCUUAUCAAAGCUCCGGCGGUAUGAGAUGGACCCGCGUCUGAUUAGCUAGUUGGUAAGGUAAUGGCUUACCAAGGCGACGAUCAGUAGCCGACCUGAGAGGGUGAUCGGCCACAUUGGAACUGAGACACGGUCCAAACUCCUACGGGAGGCAGCAGUGGGGAAUAUUGCACAAUGGGCGAAAGCCUGAUGCAGCAACGCCGCGUGAGCGAUGAAGGCCUUCGGGUCGUAAAGCUCUGUCCUCAAGGAAGAUAAUGACGGUACUUGAGGAGGAAGCCCCGGCUAACUACGUG
rnacentral:rRNA from 1 species